CAUACACACACUGCAAGUCAUGAACACACACACACACCCAGAACAAUUAGGCUAAGGUGCCUUGCUCAAGGGCACCACAGUCACAACUCACCAAACAUGAGACUCGAACCGGCAAUUCUUGGGUUAAAAAAGGACUUUCUAAGCACUAGGCUACAACUGUCCCAGGUGGAGCACAAUGCGAGUUGGAGAGACCUUUCAGAUUUAUUGCCAGACAGAACUUCAAAAACUGUGCAGGACGACAAGCUGUUGGACUGUAUGUUGUCUGUUGUGAGGGUUAACAUGUGCUUGUGCUGCGAUAUUGCAACAAAAAAACGUAUUGGCCUGUGAUUAGACAACUUGAUCGUGAUCUGUUCUCUUCUUCACAAACAAAUAAACACAUUUUAACUUG